GCGGGUGUAGCUCAGGUGGUUAGAGCGCCAGAUUGUGGCUCUGGAGGUCAUGGGUUCAAAACCCAUCACUCGCCCCA
rnacentral:tRNA from 1 species